rnacentral:rRNA from 1 species
GGGUCCGAGCGUUAAUCGGAAUUACUGGGCGUAAAGCGUGCGCAGGCGGUUGUGUAAGACAGAUGUGAAAUCCCCGGGCUCAACCUGGGAAUUGCAUUUGUGACUGCACGGCUAGAGUGUGUCAGAGGGGGGUAGAAUUCCACGUGUAGCAGUGAAAUGCGUAGAGAUGUGGAGGAAUACCGAUGGCGAAGGCAGCCCCCUGGGAUAACACUGACGCUCAUGCACGAAAGCGUGGGGAGCAA